UGUUUCUGUGUGUGUUUGUGGUCUUCCUCCAGGUGUGUGUUUCUGUGUGUGUUUGUGGUCUUCCUCCAGGUGUGUGUUUCUGUGUGUGUUUGUGGUCUUCCUCCAGGUGUGUGUUACCGUGUGUGUUUGUGGUCUUCCUCCAGGUGUGUGUUACUGUGUGUGUUUGUGGUCUUCCUCCAGGUGUGUGUUUCUGUGUGUGUUUGUGGUCUUCAACCAGGUGUGUGUGUGAUACUGUGUGUGUUUGUGGUCU